rnacentral:sRNA from 1 species
UGACAAAGUCAUCUGAGGUGAUGCAAAAGGAGUUUUGAGAGAUGAGGAUGGGCAAGCCUACAAUGAGGCUAGUCAGAGAUUGGAUGAUCAUGGACUCAUCCUACCUAAGGACGCCAAUGAGGAUUAAGGGCGCCUCAAUGCGCAAUUAGCUGCUAGAGAACAGCUCGGGAGCAGCAAGCAGAUGCAAUUGGUGUCAAACGACACAACAGAGGUGUCGAUCAACACCAACACCAGAUUCUUGCAGCUAUUCCUCCACACUUGCUCAAACAAAGAAUUUUUCCUUGGUUCGGACCAAAUUGACAUGUUUCCGGUUUCAGGAAAAUAUUCGCCGCUCGCAAGCAACCUUCUCUCGCCGAACUCGGGGGGGGGACUAAUUGUGGGAUACGGGCUUUGCCCUCCAUGCCCAAUUCGGCCCAAGCAC